CGGGUCAGAAGAGUGAGACGGGUCAGCAGAGUGAGACAGAGUGAGACGGGUCAGCAGAGUGAGACAGGUCAGCAGAGUGAGACAGAGUGAGACAGGUC